rnacentral:ribozyme from 1 species
UUUUUCAUCUUUUAUGACUACAAUUGCUUUUAUAUCAAUUGUUGAGAUAAAAUUCCGGUUAUUUUAAUGUUAUUUUAAUGACACAAUUAUUUUACCGUUUUUGCUUACUUUCG